rnacentral:rRNA from 1 species
GAUGAACGCUGGCGGCGUGCCUAACACAUGCAAGUCGAGCGGCAGCGAGGGGUGCUUGCACCCUGCCGGCGAGCGGCGGACGGCUGAGUAACGCGUGGGAACGUGCCCCAAAGUGAGGAAUAACUGCCCGAAAGGGUAGCUAAUACCGCAUAUUAUCUUCGGAUCAAAGGAUUUAUCCGCUUUGGGAGCGGCUCGCGUCGGAUUAGGUAGUUGGUGAGGUAAUGGCUCACCAAGCCGACGAUCCGUAGCUGGUCUGAGAGGAUGACCAGCCAGACUGGAACUGAGACACGGUCCAGACUCCUACGGGAGGCAGCAGUGAGGAAUCUUCCACAAUGGGCGAAAGCCUGAUGGAGCAACGCCGCGUGCAGGACGAAGGCCUUCGGGUUGUAAACUGCUUUUAUAAGUGAGGAAUAUGACGGUAACUUAUGAAUAAGGAUCGGCUAACUACGUG